rnacentral:rRNA from 1 species
GGUGAGUAACGCGUAAGGAACUUGCCUCUUGGACUGGGACAACUGUUGGAAACGACAGCUAAUACCGGAUAUUAUGAGAUUCUCGCAUGAGAAACUUAUGAAAGCUAUAUGCGCCAAGAGAGAGCCUUGCGUUCCAUUAGCUAGUUGGUGGGGUAACGGCCCACCAAGGCGACGAUGGAUAGCCGGCCUGAGAGGGUGAACGGCCACAAGGGGACUGAGACACGGCCCUUACUCCUACGGGAGGCAGCAGUGGGGAAUAUUGGACAAUGGGCCACAAGCCUGAUCCAGCAAUUCUGUGUGCACGAUGAAGGUCUUCGGAUUGUAAAGUGCUUUCAGUUGGGAAGAAGAAAGUGACGGUACCAACAGAAGAAGCGACGGCUAAAUACGUGCCAGCAGCCGCGGUAAUACGUAUGUCGCAAGCGUUAUCCGGAUUUAUUGGGCGUAAAAGCGCGUCUAGGCGGAAAAAUAAGUCUGAUGUUAAAAUGCGGGGCUCAACUCCGUAUUGCGUUGGAAACUGUUUUUUCUAGAGUACUGGAGAGGUGGGCGGAACUACAAGUGUAGAGGUGAAAUUUCGUAGAUAUUU